ensembl:lncRNA
CUGGAUGUCCCAACACUCUGUGAAAGGAUUCUGAAGGGGCAGCACUGAAGCCCAAGAGAGGUCUCUCUGCAGUGAGAUCACUGGCCUUGUGACCAGCAGAUGUGGAGACUAUUUCUGGAGCGGGGUCCUCCUGGUGCUCGGCAGCAGCAUGACCCCACCAGAGCAGGAAUGGCCUUCUUGUCUUCUUUGGUGUCUUGGCCCUGAGCCUAGGCUUCCAGAUGGACUCCCCUGAGCCAUCUGAGAGAAGAAUGCCUUCUGCAAGCUGACUUUUUCUCUGAUGUUCUGACUGCUUCCAUGGAGCUGCUCCUAAGUACCCACCCACCAAGACUUCUGCCAGAGACUUCUCCCAGAGCCUCUGUCCAGCUCCAGCUGCACAGUCAUCCAAGAGACUGUCUACCCAAAGUACAAGGCAAAUCCACAGAUUUCCCCAAGGUCAUGGUUUGCCUCCCAGAGCAGAGAAUCGGGGCCAAGAUUUGGAAAAUGGCAGCCAGGCUUGGGGGCAGCAAUGGAUGUAAACAGAAGAGCUCUUGGAGUCGGAAAAGGAGCUGGGAGUAGGGGGUCUUUCUAGCCCUGAAGUCUGAGAAAACCCUUCUUGUUCCUUCUCUGAGCAGCAAGGGCAGUGUAUAAACCAGUCCUGAUCAGAAAAAUUGUUCAAAUUGCCCGUUGGCUCAGGGGAGCCAUGGAAGAGCACCAUGAAAGCCAAAGUCCAUCAGCCCCCAUCAUACCUAUUUGACACCCAGAUAAACAGAGGCCCACUGGAGCAAACGGAGCUGUCCCAGGUCCCACUGCUACAGAAGAGUGAAGCUGGAGCCAAAAGUCAGGGCUUGUGGCCCUGAACCAGACCAUUUUCCCUCUACAGAGAGCCAAGGCCCUCCCUGGAAAUUUGUUUACAGAUCCUUGGGCCACAGAAAAUUGACUUUAUCCAACUCUUUAGCUUGAGGUCACCUUCCACCAAGAAUUAAAGAUACAGGAUCCCACAAGUCUCCCUGAAUAGUCUGAGCUCCACUGGAGCCACCCUGAUUUUCCAUGUAUACUCUACUUACUUCCAGAGGGGACAUGAGGUGACUUACAAUAAAAUACAUGCAUAAUACUAUGCUUCUACUAAU